GGAUUUUCCUGCCACCUAAGGCAGAGAGGAAAGGGGAACGGAACGGGGGAGGGGAAGAGCCAAAAUACGUUGUACCUGCGACACGUGGUCUGGCUUGGAAGGCGUGUGCCUGCUUCCAGAGGGAGACGAGAACUUUUUUGCUAGGGAAAAAAAACCCUCACGUAAUCCCUCCCUGUGGAUGCUAGGGGAUGUUAGCGCUAACCAGGCGCCAGGUAGGGCACGGUGGCCUUAACCGAGUCCUGGGGGGUCCAGGACGCACCGGUUGACUCACCUUGCCCGGCUAGUGAACCUGCAAUCACAGCGUGGGCUCGGGCCUCACAUUCACCUACUGGGGCAGAGUACCUGACUCGGGCACGGUUCGCACAGACCUCCUGGUCUCUUCUGUAAAAUGCGGAAACGAGGUUUGCCGUUUACCUUUCGCGAAGUCGUGAGGGACACGGAAACCGGGACGCUGAUUGUAGAGACUCAAACGAAAGCUCGCCCCCACACCGGGCAGUGCUUCCUCCUCACUUUAAAUGCUUUGGACUUCGCCGUUGUGAACAAAGGCUGCGGGGAAUAUUCGUUACAACAGAUGCGGUGGCCGCGUUCGCACCGAGGAAGGCCAGCGCUCCCACCCCCACCCCCACCUCGUGGUUAUCUGGUCGAAAACAAGGAAUUCCCUGUGCAGGGCAUUGAUGCAGUAGAAGUUUGCUGAACUCCAGCUGUGCAGCAGACAGUCUUGUGGGAGCAUCUGUAUCCAGUCGAGAAUUCAUGGGACAAGCUCCGGCGUUAUGUAGAGACAUUCCCUUGAGAGCUUGGAGCUCUAGUGCAGCAAUGAACAUUCAGCUCACAAGGGGACACACCUGCAUCUUCUCAGAGAAUUCCAAGAAGAUAAGCAAGGACAACCCAGGCAACAUGAAGCCCUCAAGGGAAGAUAGACCCUCCCAUUCUGUGCUGGUUCAUUUUAUGAGUCAACUUGACUGGGCCACAGAGUUCCCAGACAUUUAAGCAAACAUUAUUCUGAGUGUAUCUGUGAG
rnacentral:lncRNA from 1 species